UUUUCCUUUCAACUCGGUGUCUCCUUCGUUCUGCUGUCCUAACCUCAUUUAAUUACCCCGCCAACCAUAAGCAUUUACAAAGAAUGCCCGCUCUGUCUCUCACCAUCAUGCAAGAUGAAAGGAUAGUUAACCCCAGGCUGGGUGUUCCAAGUGCCUGCAAAUUAAAGUGACUCUUCCCCCACCCCUGCCUUUGCUUGACUCUAUGAUUAAAAAAGAAAAUGAUUUCAUUAAAGAUAAUUUAGCCAACUUUUCUGCUUUGGUACAACUUGGCGUUGAGAUGGUUUCCACUGUCCCAGCAUAAAUGAACAUGUGGUGACAUGGAGAAAUGAGGCACAGGAGGCCCCCAACACAUGUGAGUCAUGGAUAAAAUGUGAAGGGAGUAGGCAGCAAAUAAGAUGCCAAGAGGAGGUCUGGCUUGUCACAAGCACCAAUGGGAAGCCACGCGAGCUUACGGCUGUACGGCAAGUUUAUACCAUUUCCCAUCACCCUCCCCUUCUCAACUUUACUUCUCUUUAGCUCUUUGUUUGCCCCUCCCAAGGAAGCUGGGGGAAGAUCCUCUUAAUUUUUUUUUUGUCUUUUGUCUUUUUAGGGACACACCUGAAGCAUAUGACACCUUUACUUAGUGGCUGAUAAAAAAGCGAAAGCAUCAAUGAGAAUAAUAGGAAAGCGGAAAGUGGAAGUCACUGACUCUCCCCUGAGCACACGGCGGCUGGCACAGCAGGUAGAAGUCAUCACCCAGAGAAUGGGGACGUCCCCCUCCCUCCUAGAGGAGGCCACUGUGCCAUGUGCACAUGUGACAUGGCAGGAAAGAGAUGAACAGCUAGUGGGACCAAGAGUGGGCGGUUAAAUGGACCAAGAAAGGGCUCCACCACCGGAUGAAAUCAGGAAGGGAAGGGAGUGUUUAAGGCUGUCCAAAGUCUGAAAGGGUGUGAGGAUGGAAUGUCUUCCUCACCGGUGUCCUCCAAGACUGAGACUGGGACUAAGCUACCUCCGUGUCACCCUGAGAGCCUGCCCCCACCAGGUGUUCCACACACACUUACUGCCACAUGCAUUGUGUCCUGGCCCAAGGCAGCGCUGAGAACCAGCUCAUUUUUGGAAGAGAUGUCCUGGGACACAAGUCUCUGUGGGAAAGGACUCCGCUACCUGAUUCCAAGCUCAGAACAGCCUCAAUGGAUCUGACGCUGCGUGAGAACAGAUGCAGGGAGAAGUCUUAUAAGCCAUGAAAAGGGACCACGCAAAGUCCAACAGAGGAAAAAAGCCAGUAUAUAUCUUUUUGAGGAUUCUUUUUUUCUACUCUUUACUUACAAAAAUAAAUCCCUCCCUAGCUCUGCUGUCUCUCUAUCAAACGUUUUCUUGCCUGCUGCAAAUCCACUGUUUGAACAUCACUAAGACCUUGAACUCCACAGAGCACAAGCAGUGAAGAUAAGCAAAUGCUGCCCUAAGAAACUUACUGUCUAUACUGCUUACUAUCGGUGGGUUUCAACUACACUUCUUACCAUAAUCAUGUGCCCUUAAUUUUUUUUUUUUUGGCUGUUCCUGCAACAUGCAGAAGUUCCACGUCAAGGAUUGAGCCCGAGCCAAAGCAAUAACCUGAGCCACAAUGCCGAGUCCUUAACCGAGACGCCACCAGGGAACCGCACAUGCCAUUAAUUAAAGACGUUUCUGGACAAUUUUUUUAUAAUGCAAAAAAUCAUGACAAUGUCCUUGGGCCUAUGACCCCAUUAUGCCUACAGCACGCUACUCCCCGGCCUGCCCUGGGGAUUGCUUAAUAAGGAUUUCGAGUUUUAUAUUCAUGGCCAU
rnacentral:lncRNA from 1 species